rnacentral:rRNA from 1 species
AAAGGCGCGCGAUACAGGGUGACAGCCCCGUACACAAAAAUGCACAUGCUGUGAGCUCGAUGAGUAGGGCGGGACACGUGGUAUCCUGUCUGAAUAUGGGGGGACCAUCCUCCAAGGCUAAAUACUCCUGACUGACCGAUAGUGAACCAGUACCGUGAGGGAAAGGCGAAAAGAACCCCGGCGAGGGGAGUGAAAAAGAACCUGAAACCGUGUACGUACAAGCAGUGGGAGCACGCUUAGGCGUGUGACUGCGUACCUUUUGUAUAAUGGGUCAGCGACUUAUAUUCUGUAGCAAGGUUAACCGAAUAGGGGAGCCGAAGGGAAACCGAGUCUUAACUGGGCGUUAAGUUGCAGGGUAUAGACCCGAAACCCGGUGAUCUAGCCAUGGGCAGGUUGAAGGUUGGGUAACACUAACUGGAGGACCGAACCGACUAAUGUUGAAAAAUUAGCGGAUGACUUGUGGCUGGGGGUGAAAGGCCAAUCAAACCGGGAGAUAGCUGGUUCUCCCCGAAAGCUAUUUAGGUAGCGCCUCGUGAAUUCAUCUCCGGGGGUAGAGCACUGUUUCGGCAAGGGGGUCAUCCCGACUUACCAACCCGAUGCAAACUGCGAAUACCGGAGAAUGUUAUCACGGGAGACACACGGCGGGUGCUAACGUCCGUCGUGAAGAGGGAAACAACCCAGACCGCCAGCUAAGGUCCCAAAGUCAUGGUUAAGUGGGAAACGAUGUGGGAAGGCCCAGACAGCCAGGAUGUUGGCUUAGAAGCAGCCAUCAUUUAAAGAAAGCGUAAUAGCUCACUGGUCGAGUCGGCCUGCGCGGAAGAUGUAACGGGGCUAAACCAUGCACCGAAGCUGCGGCAGCGACGCUUAUGCGUUGUUGGGUAGGGGAGCGUUCUGUAAGCCUGUGAAGGUGUGCUGUGAGGCAUGCUGGAGGUAUCAGAAGUGCGAAUGCUGACAUAAGUAACGAUAAAGCGGGUGAAAAGCCCGCUCGCCGGAAGACCAAGGGUUCCUGUCCAACGUUAAUCGGGGCAGGGUGAGUCGACCCCUAAGGCGAGGCCGAAAGGCGUAGUCGAUGGGAAACAGGUUAAUAUUCCUGUACUUGGUGUUACUGCGAAGGGGGGACGGAGAAGGCUAUGUUGGCCGGGCGACGGUUGUCCCGGUUUAAGCGUGUAGGCUGGUUUUCCAGGCAAAUCCGGAAAAUCAAGGCUGAGGCGUGAUGACGAGGCACUACGGUGCUGAAGCAACAAAUGCCCUGCUUCCAGGAAAAGCCUCUAAGCAUCAGGUAACAUCAAAUCGUACCCCAAACCGACACAGGUGGUCAGGUAGAGAAUACCAAGGCGCUUGAGAGAACUCGGGUGAAGGAACUAGGCAAAAUGGUGCCGUAACUUCGGGAGAAGGCACGCUGAUAUGUAGGUGAAGUCCCUCGCGGAUGGAGCUGAAAUCAGUCGAAGAUACCAGCUGGCUGCAACUGUUUAUUAAAAACACAGCACUGUGCAAACACGAAAGUGGACGUAUACGGUGUGACGCCUGCCCGGUGCCGGAAGGUUAAUUGAUGGGGUCAGCGCAAGCGAAGCUCUUGAUCGAAGCCCCGGUAAACGGCGGCCGUAACUAUAACGGUCCUAAGGUAGCGAAAUUCCUUGUCGGGUAAGUUCCGACCUGCACGAAUGGCGUAAUGAUGGCCAGGCUGUCUCCACCCGAGACUCAGUGAAAUUGAACUCGCUGUGAAGAUGCAGUGUACCCGCGGCAAGACGGAAAGACCCCGUGAACCUUUACUAUAGCUUGACACUGAACAUUGAGCCUUGAUGUGUAGGAUAGGUGGGAGGCUUAGAAGUGUGGACGCCAGUCUGCAUGGAGCCGACCUUGAAAUACCACCCUUUAAUGUUUGAUGUUCUAACGUUGACCCGUAAUCCGGGUUGCGGACAGUGUCUGGUGGGUAGUUUGACUGGGGCGGUCUCCUCCUAAAGAGUAACGGAGGAGCACGAAGGUUGGCUAAUCCUGGUCGGACAUCAGGAGGUUAGUGCAAUGGCAUAAGCCAGCUUGACUGCGAGCGUGACGGCGCGAGCAGGUGCGAAAGCAGGUCAUAGUGAUCCGGUGGUUCUGAAUGGAAGGGCCAUCGCUCAACGGAUAAAAGGUACUCCGGGGAUAACAGGCUGAUACCGCCCAAGAGUUCAUAUCGACGGCGGUGUUUGGCACCUCGAUGUCGGCUCAUCACAUCCUGGGGCUGAAGUAGGUCCCAAGGGUAUGGCUGUUCGCCAUUUAAAGUGGUACGCGAGCUGGGUUUAGAACGUCGUGAGACAGUUCGGUCCCUAUCUGCCGUGGGCGCUGGAGAACUGAGGGGGGCUGCUCCUAGUACGAGAGGACCGGAGUGGACGCAUCACUGGUGUUCGGGUUGUCAUGCCAAUGGCACUGCCCGGUAGCUAAAUGCGGAAGAGAUAAGUGCUGAAAGCAUCUAAGCACGAAACUUGCC